GAUCCUGGCUCAGAAUCAACGCUGGCGGCGCGCUUAACACAUGCAAGUCGCACGAGAAAGGGGAGCAAUCCCUGAGUAAAGUGGCGUACGGGUGAGUAACACGUGGAUGAUCUACCUUCUAGUGGGGAAUAACCCAGGGAAACCGGGGCUAAUACCGCAUGAGCUCGAGAGAGGAAAGCAGCAAUGCGCUGGAAGAGGAGUCCGCGGCCGAUUAGCUAGUUGGCAGGGUAAAAGCCUACCAAGGCAGAGAUCGGUAGCCGGCCUGAGAGGGCACACGGCCACACUGGCACUGAAACACGGGCCAGACUCCUACGGGAGGCAGCAGUGGGGAAUCUUGCACAAUGGGGGAAACCCUGAUGCAGCGACGCCGCGUGAGCGAUGAAGCCCUUCGGGGUGUAAAGCUCUUUCGGCAGGGAAGAUGAUGACGGUACCUGCAGAAGCAGCUGCGGCUAACUACGUGCCAGCAGCCGCGGUAAUACGUAGGCAGCGAGCGUUGUUCGGAGUUACUGGGCGUAAAGGGUGUGUAGGCGGUUGUUUAAGUUUGGUGUGAAAUCUCCCGGCUCAACUGGGAGGGUGCGCCGAAUACUGAAUGACUUGGAGUGCGGGAGAGGUGAGUGGAAUUCCUGGUGUAGCGGUGAAAUGCGUAGAUAUCAGGAGGAACACCGGUGGUGUAGACGGCUCACUGGACCG
rnacentral:rRNA from 1 species